rnacentral:rRNA from 1 species
CUACGAGGGGCUGCAGUGGGGAAUAUUGCACAAUGGAGGAAACUCUGAUGCAGCAACGCCGCGUGGAGGAUGACACUUUUCGGAGCGUAAACUCCUUUUAUAUAGGAAGAAGAUGACGGUACUAUAUGAAUAAGCGCCGGCUAACUCCGUGCCAGCAGCCGCGGUGAAUACGGAGGGCGCAAGCGUUACUCGGAAUCACUGGGCGUAAAGAGCGGGUAGGCGGAUUAAAAAGUCAGAAGUGAAAUCCUAUAGCUUAACUAUAGAACUGCUUCUGAAACUCUUAAUCUAGAAUAUGGGAGAGGUAGAUGGAAUUUCUGGUGUAGGGGUAAAAUCCGUAGAGAUCAGAAGGAAUACCGAUUGCGAAGGCGAUCUACUAGAACAUUAUUGACGCUGAGACGCGAAAGCGUGGGGAGCAAACAGGAUUAGAUACCCGUGUAGUC